AUGAAUGCAAGGAUGCUCUUUUUAGAGGUCCGACCCAUUUUUUAUUACCACACUGUGAACCAACUACUUUUUACACCUUUUUUAUACUCUUAAAAGUUUAAAGAAUGUUAUUAAGUCUCUUAAUUGAGCAUAAAAGUUAUUA
rnacentral:misc_RNA from 1 species